AUGUGAACUGAUCAUGGAAAAUAAAAAACAAACCUUGGAGUCAACAGAGUCCUUGCCACUUCCUGAGGCCCUGACCUCUAGUGUCAUGUGGUCAAUGUUACAUUCUUUAUUUUCUUUAAUUAUUGGUUUUCACAUGAUAGGUGAGUGUGCAGGACGGCUGUCAGAAGAUGCAUUUAUAAGCUGUUAUGUGAAAGGGUUUUGAAAUAUAUCAAAUGCAUCAUAAGGCAAGAAUUCACACAGCAAGUCUUGUGGCUAAUCCUUUGCUUUGAGCGGCUGAAGAGCCUUGGAGGGGCAUCGCAGCAAGUAUCCCUCCCUGGGCACCAGACACAGAGAACCGACUGACUUUUGUGAUGAACUUUCCAAACGAGCUGUUGCUACAGCCGACCAACCGGCAAGCCGGCCGAGGGACCCGACUACUUCCCCUGGGCCCGACGACAGAAUAGAUUUGUCGCAAGCAAACUGUAAGUGGGCUGCCAUCAUCAAAGAAAUCAGCAGCCCGUCUCCCUGGGAGACUGCAACCCCCCACAUUUAUCUAAAUUAUCUCGGUAAUAUGACAGAGUGAUUGCUCACUAAUGGUCAAUAACAGUUUUCUUUGUCAUUUUCCUAGUCAUUACCUCCUGAGAAUGAACUCCCGAGUACACUGCUUGCAGCCCGUGACUGGAAUGUUAAUUUCGUCCUGCGUCCCCGGCUGGCUCCCUUCAACGGUACUGGGCUCUCGCAUUUCUGACAUUUUUCGUUUUGUAAAAAUGAAUACCUGCCUUAGAAAGCCUGAUGAACGCAGAGAUACUUUACAUGCAAACACACACACACACACACACACACACACACACACACACAAAUGCUGUUCCCAUUUCCCCCUGUCUUUCAUCUGACAAAGCGGGUAGUGACUGCGAGCUCAGAAUUGGCUGGCGGAGGUGUCUGCUGGUGUGUGGGCUCCAUUUCUGGGGCUUUAUCAAGCCCUGUCUCCGAUUUUCCCAUUUCAGACAAUCUUCCUUUGAAGACGUGGAUGACAUAGUAAAACCGAUUGCACUUGAGAGCCGAUUCCAUGACUAUUUUGCUGCAACAGCGCAUUCUGCAAAUUUCAGCUGCUUCACUAGCUUCUCCUGUUUGUUGCUGAACCGAUUAUCCUGUUCUGCACUUGUUCCGCGGAAGAAUCCCGAGUCCCAUCUUCUGCCUCGCUCGGACCUGAUAUUUGUUCUUUAUUCUCCUAAAGCGGUUAAUGAAAAAUUCACUCCCAGAAGUGAACGACUUUUACCUAGUUUGGGGCCUGUGCUCCUGAUAGAAUAUGAGGAGGACUAGGGAGGCCUGAAACCAGAGGUGUUGACCAGCAAGCCUCACCAACAUAUGGCCAAUGGAUGAGUGCAAAAUGGCUUCCAAAAUAACACUGCACUGAAGUGGUAAGGAACGUGGGUGUACGGAGGAGACGCAAAAACACAGGUGUUUAUUACAUCUGUACUUUAACAUUUUUUUACAAGAUACCUGUAUUUCUUGUGUAUACCUAAAUAAGAUGAGGCCUGGCCAUAUUAAAAUGCUCACUGUUUUUCUAUUCUGAUA
rnacentral:lncRNA from 12 species